AUCAACUUUCGAUGGUAGGAUAGAGGCCUACCAUGGUGGUAACGGGUAACGGGGUGUUAGGGCACGACACCGGAGAGGGAGCCUGAGAAACGGCUACCACAUCCAAGGAUGGCGGCAGGCGCGCAAAUUACCCAAUCCCGACACGGGGAGGUAGUGACAAUAAAUAACAAUACGGGGUUCUUUCGGAUCUCGUAAUUGGAAUGAGUACAAUUUAAAUCUCUUAACGAGGAACAAUUGGAGGGCAAGUCUGGUGCCAGCAGCCGCGGUAAUUCCAGCUCCAAUAGCGUAUAUUAAAGUUGUUGCAGUUAAAAAGCUCGUAGUUGAAUUUCGGGGUUAGUAGGUUGGUCAUGCCUCUGGUAUGCACUGGUCUCACUGAUUCCUCCUUCCUGAUGAGCCGUAAUGCCAUUAAUUUGGUGUUGCGGGGAAUUUGGACUGUUACUUUGAAAAAAUUAGAGUGUUUAAAGCAAGCUAACGCUUGAAUACAUUAGCAUGGAAUAAUGAAAUAGGACGUUCGAUCCUAUUUUGUUGGUUUCUAGGAUUGACGUAAUGAUUAAUAGGGAUAGUUGGGGGCAUUAGUAUUCAAUUGUCAGAGGUGAAAUUCUUGGAUUUAUUGAAGACUAACUACUGCGAAAGCAUUUGCCAAGGAUGUUUUCAUUAAUCAAGAACGAAAGUUAGGGGAUCGAAGACGAUCAGAUACCGUCGUAGUCUUAACCAUAAACUAUGCCGACUAGGGAUCGGAUGAUGUUAAUUUUUUAAUGACUCAUUCGGCGCCUUACGGGAAACCAAAGUGUUUGGGUUC
rnacentral:rRNA from 1 species